GACGAACGCUGGCGGCGUGCUUAACACAUGCAAGUCGAGCGGAAAGGCCCUUCGGGGUACUCGAGCGGCGAACGGGUGAGUAACACGUGAGUAACCUGCCCCAGACUUUGGGAUAACCCUCGGAAACGGGGGCUAAUACCGGAUACGACACAGCUUCGCAUGGGGUCUGUGUGGAAAGUUUUUCGGUUUGGGAUGGGCUCGCGGCCUAUCAGCUUGUUGGUGGGGUGAUGGCGUACCAAGGCGACGACGGGUAGCCGGCCUGAGAGGGCGACCGGCCACACUGGGACUGAGACACGGCCCAGACUCCUACGGGAGGCAGCAGUGGGGAAUAUUGCACAAUGGGCGGAAGCCUGAUGCAGCGACGCCGCGUGAGGGAUGACGGCCUUCGGGUUGUAAACCUCUUUCAGCAGGGACGAAGCGUAAGUGACGGUACCUGCAGAAGAAGCGCCGGCCAACUACGUG
rnacentral:rRNA from 1 species